AGGUUUGCUGGGAGAAAUUCGCUCGGUACUUCGAGGUGGAGCUAAAGGAAGUAAACCUAAGUGAAGGUUACUACGUGAUGGAUCCAGACAAAGCAGCAGAAAUGGUAGACGAGAACACAAUCUGUGUCGCAGCCAUAUUGGGAUCCACACUCAACGGUGAGUUCGAAGACGU
rnacentral:sRNA from 1 species